rnacentral:rRNA from 1 species
AUUGAACGCUGGCGGCAUGCCUUACACAUGCAAGUCGAACGGUAACGCGGGGCAACCUGGCGACGAGUGGCGAACGGGUGAGUAAUACAUCGGAAUGUGCCCAGUAGUGGGGGAUAGCCCGGCGAAAGCCGGAUUAAUACCGCAUACGACCUACGGGUGAAAGCGGGGGACCGCAAGGCCUCGCGCUAUUGGAGCGGCCGAUGUCAGAUUAGGUUGUUGGUGGGGUAAAGGCCUACCAAGCCUACGAUCUGUAGCUGGUCUGAGAGGACGACCAGCCACACUGGGACUGAGACACGGCCCAGACUCCUACGGGAGGCAGCAGUGGGGAAUUUUGGACAAUGGGGGCAACCCUGAUCCAGCCAUGCCGCGUGCGGGAAGAAGGCCUUCGGGUUGUAAACCGCUUUUGUCAGGGAAGAAACGGCUCGCGCUAAUACCGCGCGCUAAUGACGGUACCUGAAGAAUAAGCACCGGCUAACUACGUGCCAGCCGCCGCGGUAA